GGAUUGUGGCUCUAUGGUACAGUGCUUGCCUAGGGUGUGGGAGGCCCUGGGUUCAAUCCUCAGCACCA
rnacentral:tRNA from 1 species